rnacentral:misc_RNA from 1 species
GUUCCCUAAUGUUGUUCUUGGAUUUUGUCUUAUCUGAUCUAUACUAUCUUGGUUAAACACAAUCUUGAUACUAAAUUUCAGUAGUAAAUCUCUUAUUGGUUCUCUUAUGACAUUUUCUGGUGGAAUUAUUGGUAUGGGUGAGAUUGAUCUUUGAUUUCUUGAGUAUUAGUGGUGGUUUUCUUUACUUGGGGUUUUAAAAAAGUAUGAUUUUUCACUAAGUUUGAUGGUUUUCUUGGGAAUAUGAUGAGAAAUUGGAGUGAGUUUUGAGUAAAGAUUGGAUUUUUA